rnacentral:rRNA from 1 species
UACGUAGGGGGCAAGCGUUAUCCGGAAUUACUGGGUGUAAAGGGUGCGCAGGUGGUAUGGCAAGUCAGAAGUGAAAACCCAGGGCUUAACUCUGGGACUGCUUUUGAAACUGUCAGACUGGAGUGCAGGAGAGGUAAGCGGAAUUCCUAGUGUAGCGGUGAAAUGCGUAGAUAUUAGGAGGAACAUCAGUGGCGAAGGCGGCUUACUGGACUGAAACUGACACUGAGGCACGAAAGCGUGGGGAGCAAACAGG